AUAGUUUCGAACUCGCACAGAGAGAGGAGAGAAGAAGGAGAAGAAGGAGCUCGCCCCCUUGUGGAAUCUCCUCAGCAGAGCAGGUAUUGGGACAAAUUUUAGGGUUUUUCUAGACCCCCUAUACAGAGAGCUAUUAUGUCUGGAAGUAGUAUCCCUGCCGUUAAGUGGUCAGAAUUUGAGACCACUGUGUUCAUUGAAUCAAUGAAAGAAGCUGUAAAAAAUGGUCACAAAUCCGGUAAUUCAUUUAACAAAACUGGAUGGGAGAUCAUUACAAAGCAAUUUCAACAGGCUUUAAAUCGUCCAGUUGGGAGAGAACAGUUAC